GACGUAGGGCGCGAGCGUUGUCCGGAUUUAUUGGGCGUAAAGAGCUCGUAGGCGGCUUGUCGCGUCGUCCGUGAAAACUUGGGGCUCAACUCCAAGCUUGCGGUCGAUACGGGCAGGCUCGAGUUCGGUAGGGGAGACUGGAAUUCCUGGUGUAGCGGUGGAAUGCGCAGAUAUCAGGAGGAACACCGGUGGCGAAGGCGGCAUCCUGGACCGACACUGACACUGAGGAGCGAAAGCCAGGGGAGCAAACGGG
rnacentral:rRNA from 1 species